CCAUUUGUGAUUUAUACACUCCAGAUUUAAUGUUUCUGAUGAGCAAUACUACUAUCUACAGCCAUGCCCAUUAACAUAGGCCCUACUCAUGUACUAGAUCUAGCUCUUUUGAUCACAACUCAUAUCUUGCCUAGAUAUAAACAACUGUACUAGAUUGGACUAGACAUUCUAAUCGGUUCUAUUUUCGUUUUUCAUUAUUCUCACAUAUUCUAGUAGGCAAUAGGUACCAAAUUGUACUAUUUAUUCACUGUAGAUCUAGAUCUUAACUUUUCUCUUAACUACCAAAGAAGUACACAAAGGAUGUUGAAAGGUACCCAAAGGGCUCUUAUUGCUACCAUUCAAUGUGUGGAAUCAAGUAUUUACCCAGAUACUGCCACAAUAUGCUCUUAUUGUUUUCAAAGGAGUUUUCACACAGUGCCAGAAGCUGUAUAAAUACAUUUAACAAUGUAUAUUUCAAGAAGAAAUGAUGCUUUCUUAUUUCUAAGAGUUUAUCAAUAGGAUGAAUGCCACAAAACUCACUUGUUAUGCCAGAAACUCUUCCUACGAAACUUCCAUACUAGAAUUUGUCCAGUGCCUGUGAUCCUCUGAGUUGAAGGAGAAUGUGCUCCAUAAUACCUACUAGGAGCUUGCUGAUAGCUGGAAGUUCAUGAAUACUAUGUUGUCCUUGAUUUGAUGAUUCUGAAAACUACCAUUUCUGAAGACUUGAGCAUUAUUUCUAUAAUUUAAAAAAAUCUUUUCAGGAAAUAUUGUGUUUAUAAUAUUAAGAAAGGGAAGAUAAUAUUGUUCUUACUAAUAUUAUUGACUUAUUAAAAUAGAAAGCACAUCAUUACCAAUAUUCACUUGUCAAUAAAUGUUAGCAUUAUUCAAUUUUUAGUUACAUGUUCAAACUAUUAAAUUUUAUUAUUUAAAUUAUAGCAACUUUCUCUUUCAGUCCAGCUUAAGAAACAUUCAUGUAAAAAGUCUAUAAUAAUAAGUUAAUGUCGAUGUAGUAUUGUUCAGACACUUACAAGUUUAAUCAUCUAUACUUCACAAAAAAAAAGUGUUUGAAUGGUUUUCAUUUGUUUGUACAUCAAAUAUGUAUUAAUAUAAUUAUCAUUUUUAGAUGAAACAUUAAAUACUGAAGAUGACCAUCUCAAUUUCUGAUGUAGGCCUAUUCUCAUUUCAUGAAAUAAACAAAAUAUUAUCUGAAAUUUCAUCCCUUCAUGGUAACUGUAACUGGCUUCAUAAAAAAAUGGAGUGAUGACUGGGUUGACUAUACAUUUUUGUAUAAAUAAUGCAUCAAUGAAUGUA